rnacentral:rRNA from 1 species
GCCAGACUCCUACGGGAGGCAGCAGUGGGGGAUAUUGCACAAUGGGGGGAACCCUGAUGCAGCGACGCCGCGUGGGUGAAGGAGCGUUUCGGCGCGUAAAGCCCUAUCGGCAGGGAAGAAGGAGGACGGUACCUGACUAAGAAGCCCCGGCUAACUACGUGCCAGCAGCCGCGGUAAUACGUAGGGGGCAAGCGUUAUCCGGAUUUACUGGGUGUAAAGGGGGCGCAGACGGCAGCGCAAGCCAGGAGUGAAAGCCCGGGGCCCAACCCCGGGACUGCUCUUGGAACUGCGCGGCUGGAGUGCAGGAGGGGCAGGCGGAAUUCCUGGUGUAGCGGUGAAAUGCGUAGAUAUAAGGAGGAACACCGGUGGCGAAGGCGGCCUGCUGGACUGCGACUGACGUUGAGGCCCGAAAGCGUGGGGAGCAAACAGGAUUAGAUACCCUCGUACAA